rnacentral:rRNA from 1 species
GUCCUAGCCGUAAACGGUGCUUGCUUGCUGUAAAAGGAAUCGACCCCUUUUGUGGCGAAGCCAACGCGAUAAGCAAGCCGCCUGGGGAAGUACGGUCGCAAGAUUAAAACUCAAAGAAAUUGACGGGGGCCUGCACAAGCGGUGGAGUAUGUGGCUUAAUUCGAUGCAACGCGAAGAACCUUACCUGGCCUUGACAUGCAUCUAGUAGAAGGGUGAAAGCCCGACGAGGUAGCAAUACCAGGAUGCACAGGUGCUGCAUGGCUGUCGU